rnacentral:tRNA from 1 species
GCUAAUGUAGCUUAACUAAAGCAUAACACUGAAGAUGUUAAGAUAGGCCUUAGAAAGCUUCAUAAGCA